AAUAUUAGUGGAGGGCACUGUAACACUAAAAAGGAGGGGGGGAAAUGUAAAUCUUAGAGUUUAGAAAUUUUUUUCAUUUCACCGGUCAUGUGUCAAGACUAACGCCCCCCCCCCCCAAACCUUUUAUUUCACUUUGCUAACCUGAACACAUUUCAGUGUAAUUUUUAAAAGAUGAAAGCAGAGAGAAUAGGUCGGCCUCGCAGCCUGCCCCUCUGUUCCAGCUCCUCUUCUCUGGUUAAUUACAGGCCCACUGCCCCACGUAGCAAUUACAGGCCAUUUCCACAAGGAUGGAGAAACGCUCUCCCACCCUCGCUCGCUCACCCUCUCUCAGUUUCGCUCCCACACUCGCUUUUCCUCGCAAAGGCCACCGCCGACAUCCCACUCUGUCCUGGCAUUCACACACUCGACUACAGAACAGACGCAAUGAUACGGGCUUGAAAAUAAAAAAAAUAAAUAAAUAAAAGCCUAUUAGAAAUGUCAGUGAAAUACUCGUCCUGUAAAAUAACGUCAGAUUUGAAUUUCAGAACACUAUUUGGUUUCUUUAAUUAAUUCAUUCGUUGAUUAAUAAUUAAUUGACUGAUGAGCGCAGCUAAUUGUGUUAUUGGUGAUUAUUGAAUCUGACGCAUUACAUUUAAAGCUCCAUGUUUACUUUUCUACUGCCUGUGCUGGCGUGCUUACUUAUUCACGCUUGAAGGAUUGACACGUUAAUUGCGCUUAGAAAAAGGUUUAUGAAAUCUGAGAUAGAGAGAAAGAGACAGAGGAAAACAAGAAAAGAACGAAAGUGCAAGAAAAAUUCUUCGGAAAUGAGAUUUGCGCAACAAUCCCGAUGAUCGUUUUCUUUAAUAGCACGCAGAACUAUGAUGUAAACUUGAGCUUCACGGAGGCUGAUUUCCUUAUUGCUUCACCAGAUUACUUUAUAAGCUGGCCGUGCUUGAUUCUGAAGGUUUUUUUGUUUUAGUGUUUUUAAGAGAGAGAGAGAGAGAGAGAGAGAGAGAGAGAGAGAGCGCACACAAGAGCAAGAGAGCGCGCGCGCGCGAGAGAGAGAGCGCGAGAGCACGAGAGAAAGUGAGGAAGAGAGCGAGAGACAGAGAGCACGAGAGAAAGUGAGGAAAAGAGAGUGAGUGAGAGAGAGAGAAAAGAGAGAAAAGAGAGCCCCGACAAUAAGACGCAGCAGUGGCUCUACGCCAUCCACCCCCAGACUCUGAGAACGUGGGUGUAUGGAUUCGAGCGGUGCCUCCGCUUAUAAAACCCACUUCAUGAGACCCGCUUCUGCAUCAAACCGUCAGGAAGCUGGUAAUGAACACGGACUUAAAACAAAACAAAACCCAUAAACGAUUUAUAUUAUACCUUCACUGGCUGAAGGCAGUAUUGAACAGUUAAAUGAACAUGACGGUAAUUCAGGAACAGACAAACUGCAGCUGUAUGACGGGUAAUGCCUCCAAGUCAAUGCUGUCAAGACAGGGUAAUUACAGUGGACAUAAAAGACCUUUCGCUCCCCCCGAAAAAAAAACAAGCCUUCUGAAACAAAGCAGACUUUACGGUUUUGCCUCGAAGGCUUUUUAAGACUACUCUCGCUGUUUAUUCCGAAUUCCUUUAUAAAAGCCCUCCUCCACAUCGCCCAUCUCUUCCCACCCCCGGCUCCCUUUCUCUUUUCCUCCCGCUCUCAUAUGACACGAGAGUGACAGAAACACAUAAUAGCAUGUUGUUGCUAAGAAACCACCUGUCUAGAUUUCGCCACAUCCACACUGCGAUGCAGGUUUGUUGUAUUUUUUUUUCCCCAAUCCCCCUGCGGUGAUGAUAACUAAUAAAAACGCGUCUGCGAACGGCCGAAAUCUAAUAAUCAGCCAGAUUAUGAAGACGCAGUAAACAGAAGCGCACUAUGGAGAGAAGUUUGAUACAGGAAGACAGCCCGAGUGAUUGAGGCCGACAUCAUCACGGGUUUGGUAUGUGUGAAACCAGAGCCACACCUGGUAUUUUCCACCUGAGGAUACACAGCAGCGCCAUACCCAAAACAGGCAAACCUGUCCGCGGUUGACUCUUUGGGAGAGGUGCCGGGACACGCCCCCUUUUUUUCCUCCCGAGUGUUGUUUUUCAGCCGAGGACCUGACAAGUCACACCCUGCCCAGCGCACAGCAACCAGGGCAUUCCGAGGACCAAACAGGGAGAGAGGGGUGGAUCAGUAGCCCAGGACAACCAGAUAUCACGUCGGGGUUAUGGAUAAUUUCCUGGUGGAGAACCCAAAAACCAUCAACAACAACAAACUCCUUCUUAUUGACUUAUAUGUUCAGUAGGGUCCAAAGGUCAGAGAUCACACUGAAAAUCCAGGUUGAGGGUUUUUUUUUGUUUGUUUGUUUUGUUUUUUUAGAAUUUAAAAUUGGAAAUAAAAACAAAAAGGUGUUAGAGUAUUUAAAUAUUUAAAAACAAAGAAUGUAAAAGUAAACGCUCGAUCUUAAAUGUGUCAUAUUCUGGACGAUUUCUAGGUUCUUAUUUAAAUGUAAGCAAAUUUGUCCUAUUGAUCAUGUUAACUGUUUGUACAAAAAGCUCAUAUUUCCUCAUGUCUAAUCUCUUCUACUGGAGCACGUGUUCAGACGACACUCCGAUGGAUUUAAUCUCAAACGGAUCGGAAGCUUUUGUACACACUUGUGGAGUCCAUGUCAGCUUGAUCACACACACACACACACACACACACACACACACACA